ensembl:lncRNA
GCGGGGCGCGACUCUCAGUGUCUCUGACGGAGAAAGCAGCAGACUCGUGGCCUCCUCGGUCAUCCCGGGGGAGCAGCCAGUGCUUUGGAGCGGCGUGUUCAGUGUGGAUGGAGGAGACACCAACACCGAGCUGAUGGUGUUUGACAUCAGCCCUGAUUACAGCAGAGCAGGGGACAGAGAUCCAGACUUCUACACCUCUGUGCCAUCAGAAGUGACGGUGACGGUCCUGAAACCAAAGGCAGUCCUCUUCAGGCACAGCUACAUGACCUCUGUGCUGGCAGUGAGGCAGAGAGGCUGGAUGGUUUUCUUCAUUGGGACAGGAGACGGGCAGCUCAUUAAGCUGUCUGUGGACAGGAAGUAUCACGCUGCCUGUCCCACGGUGCUCUACAGGACCAGUGAUGACCGCAAAGUGAUUCCCAAAUUACAUCUGGAUCCAGUGGAUCGUAAACAUGUGUAUGUGCCAUUUAGAAACCAGAUGAAGCGAGUUCCUGUGUCAAAGUGCAGCACGUACACAAAUGUGCAGGAGUGUUGGUCUGCACAGGAUGGUGUGGCUCUAAAAGCAGCUGCACAUUUGAAGAUGACUGCACAGAUUCAGACUGGCUGUCCAUUCCUGAUGAGUCCCAACACAAAAUGAUUUCCCACAAAGUUGAAAAGGACACAAAUGGACAGGUUUUACUAAAAAUGCACACACACCUGAUCGUGGGCCAAGAAGUGUCGUCUAACUUUAUCUGUCAGUUCGCUGCAAGGUCUGGCUCAAUUUGUGCUCCGAAUAACCCUCCUCCACAGUUCCCACAAUGCACCUGCAUCCUGUCUGAUCGUACACUUCCUGCUGAUGGGCAGUGACUUUUCAUAAAUUAAAUACUUUGCAGUCAGACCUACUUACUGAUUUGCAACAUCUCCCAACCAGCAAAAUAGAAACAUUACAGAGCUGACUCUGACAGAUGAAUACUCUUUACUAGUUGACAAAUCUGAGCUGUUCGUUAUUAUAAACUGUGCAA